AUCUGGGCGACGGAAUUCAGGACGGCUGGCGGGUCUCGCGCUCGUUCGGCCGUUUGAUAUUUCCGUCGCCGUGUCAGACGUCGCGACCUGUUUGUCGUCGGUCCUUGCUCGGAGGAAUUGCGAUCGAGUUCGUUGCGGGCGCGCCUCGGUGUGUUCCGCGGCGAAGACGCGACUCUCUGGCUGACGGCGGACAGUAAGCAACGGUGGCCGGCGCCGUGUCUCGCACUCGGCGUCGGUACCGGUCAGCGACGAUUUCUUCGGGCCUCUUUCCGACCCGUCUUGAAACACGGACCAAGGAGUCUAACAUGCGCGCGAGUCGCGGGGUUUCGAGUGUGCCACGGUGCGCUCGUUACUUCCGAAACCCGUACGUUGAAGGCGUAAUGAAAGUGAACAGGGAAGAUGGCGUUCCGAGUCCACGUACCGUGAUCGAGUAUCGCGGCCGGACGCCCGCACUCCCGGGGCGUCUCAAUGGCUCGCCACGGAUGCGGACGAUCGUCUUUCGGGGCGGUCGUCGGUCUGUGGCGGUCCGA
rnacentral:rRNA from 1 species